rnacentral:lncRNA from 1 species
UUGGUAUCAGAAACCUGUCAUUUCACUUUGUAUAAACUCCUAGUGACUCGAAACUUUCUGGUUCUUCUGGUUUCAGGAUACCAUAUGUCAUUUCCAGGUUUGUUUAAAGAAAUAAUAAUUUAUCGAACAAUAUGUAAUUUUCUCCUUAUAUCAAUUCUUAUGCUGGCAGGUAAGGCCACGGAAUAUUGGACAAUCAAGCAGAGCGGGUGGAGUAAGUCUGGCUGACAUUACUGCUCUUCUUAUCAUACUUGAAUCAAACUGGAGGAGUGUUCAGGAACAGAGGAGACAGCAGUUGCUGACUUCUGUCAUGGUAAAUAACAGGCAGGUGAAGUCUAAAGCUUCUAUAGCGAAUAAGGAGCAGUUGCACGGGGACCAAGUCUUUGAUGCAAGGCUGUCUAAAACUAAGCUUUCUGUCCAUCUGCUUUGCCUGGGCGCAACUUGAGCAAUCAAGGUAUUGGGAAACAGAUGGGGCAUGUGAUGCCCUUAGUUCUUAAAUCCUCUCGGAACAUCGGACAGUUUUUUGAGGUACGAGAUCUGGCAAUAUAUCUGGAAUACUGCAGAGAAUAUAUUUUCAGCUGCCUGCAUCUGAAGUUGCUCUGUAAUCUGCAAAAUAGGCGGCAUUCUGGAAUGAUGAUAAAAUACCACCAUAUCACAGCAAUUUUGACAAUGUUGAGGUGCCUCCUCACUCUCUUUCCCGUUAUUAUAGUCUUCCCUUGUGAUCGUAGAAUUUUUAAUUAGACAAUUAGACAAUUGAGGGGUUGUCCACGAUUAAGUCGUAGUGGGUAUUGCAACACUAUUAUUCUGGCGCAGCCAAUAUCUCAAGUCCUUUCUAAGUUGCCAAAUCAAAGUGCUCCAGAGAAUAGU